rnacentral:rRNA from 1 species
GUAUUUUAACUGUGCUAAGGUAGCAUAAUUAUUUGUCUUUUAAUUGAGGGCUGGAAUGAAGGGUUGGACGAGGUAUUAGCUUUCUUUAAUUUAAUUUGAGGAAUUUAAUUUUUGAGUUAAAAAGCUUAAAUUUAUUUAUGGGACGAGAAGACCCUAUAGAUCUUUAUAGUUUUAUAUUUUAGUAAUUUGGGGAUUUAUGUAUUUUAAGUAAAUGAACUAUUUUGUUGGGGUGACUGUAGAAUUUUAAUAACUUCUAUUUUGUAUUUUCAUUAAUUAAUGUUUUUGUGAUCCAUAAUUUAUGAUUAGAAGAUUAAGUUACCUUAGGGAUAACAGCGUAAUUUCCUCGGAGAGUUCAUAUUGAUGAGGGAGUUUGCGACCUCGAUGUUGGAUUAAAAUAAGUUAU